CCUGCCAGGGCUGCCGCCGCCGCGCCGCGCAGUUCGUGUGCGCCGGCUGCGCCAACCAGUGGUACUGCAGCCGCGACUGCCAGGUGGCAGCGUGGGACGACCACUCGGAGAUGUGUUCCGGGUAGCGUCCACAGCGUGACGUAGUGACAUUUGCCUUAUAACACACCGUCAGCCAGGUGACACGUCACACGGGUGAUUCGUGAAUCUCGGUGUCCGACCUUCGUGCAGCUAGAAAGGUCUAAAUUAUUUCAUGUUUGUACAAUGUAGCUGCAAAUUUUGUAACCAAAAUAUUAUACAGUGAUGGAUUUGAGUUGGCUUUGAAGUUUUUGAAGAUUUAGGUACAUUUUUGGUUCUGGAUUUUUGAACAUGUUAUUAUUUGUCCUGUUUUUAGACCCUAAAGUAACGGUGAUAAAAAUUCUAAAUAAUAUAAAUUGGCAGCUACUAGAUAAACUUAAAUGUAAUUUCAUCUAGAUAAAAAAAAACUGAUUUUCAUGCCAUUAUUUCGUUUAAUAAUAAGUAUAAAAUUAUCCUCGAAAAGAAAAGUUUCAAAGCCACUAUUUAAAAACAUCACUGUUUUAUCCUAUGUAGGUAUUGAUUUUUCCUAUAUUAUAGUAGAGAGUGUCAAGCUUUUACACGCUCUUUAGAAAUGCUAUUUUCAACUAUUAGAUGUAGGAUAUAGUAUUUUUUCAAUGUGACUACUGACUACAAGAAUGUAGUAAAUCAUUUUCUAACGAAGUUUUGUUUAUUUUUAUUUUUUGACAUUGGACUUAUUGACAGUCUUUGCGGUAAUGAAAUCCCGUGCACUUAGCUUUUGUGAUAUGUUCCUUUUGACACAAAUCAAUGAAUAAAUGAAAUAUUGACUAAAAAGUAAUCUUUCAACUAAAAACAAUAUUUUUAUUGUGUAAACCAGUAUUGACAAUAAAGUUGAAUUUGUCUUCUUUUUAUACAAAUACGACUGUGCUCCAUAAUAAAAAUAAAAAUUAAAUGCGUUGUGUAUAAUUACUAAGUUUUACAAUGGUAAAACAAUAUAGAACGCGUAACCCAAUCAAAUGUAACUGUUGUAACGAUUUAAAUAAAUUUAUUUAAAUUAUUGACUGAUAAUCUUGUGGUAUUUAUUUUAGGCACAGCAAUACCUAAAUUUUUACAUCCCAUCUAUGAAAUUUUCAUAGAAUAUAGCAUAAUAAACAAUAAAUAUAAAUCACAAUCAAAGGUUGUGAAACAUCACUUAGUCGCAAAAUAAACACAUUAUGAUCCUGUGAAAUAUGGUGGCAUAAAAUAGAAUACUUGGUUGAAAAUACUGCACGACUGGCCUGUCGAGUUUCAGUUCAAACAUAGGGCAAAGUAAGCCUGGUUCACAUAAAAUAAUACCACUGUCCAUAAUUUUUUACUUUCCAUAUGAAAAUGCACCCUAUGGCAACAGCAUAAGGUACUUUUUGAUCAAGAAAGCUUCGAUUCGAAAUAGAAUUGCUUAACCUAAAUACUACUGGAAUAUUCUGUAACAAUAAAUUUUGAAACUCUGCGGGCAGAAUAGCCAACUCGCCAUCUCCUUCUAUUGAGUACAAUUCUAAAGAGAUGGAUGCAACCUGGAGUCGUGUAGACUUGCAUAGUGUUCUUGCAUUAAUUUUACAUUACAAUGACUUGUAUCGUUUAAUCAAAUAAUGUUUACGAAGCCUACUACUAUUUAGGCUAUUCUUUAUAUAUGCUAUGUGUAAAUAAGCUAUAUAUAUCGUAGCGAGCCGUAGGAUAAACAUACAAUAAAUGUUAUUUAUGAAUGUAAAUAUGAUCAAAUUAUAUAAAUGAGUUCUGAAUUAUGCCGCACUGUAUCUUAUUCAAAUCAAAUUAUAUUCCCUACCAAAUUGUUUUAAGUUUGGUUGUAAUUUUAAGAAGUAACAUUUUUAGAUUACAUUAGGGAGACUUGAUUAUUUGCUGUUUAAUUAAAAUAUUUCUCAGUGCAGAAAAAUACAAUUAAAUACUGUUUAGAAAAAAUCGAUCUGUCAUUUCAGUAUUUGGGAUGUAAUAAGAUAAAUACAGCUUUAACGAGAAUUAUUUAGACAGAGCGAGUCUCCCCGCCGUGCCUUUGAGAACACUAUAGGGCCUACAGCGAACACCUUGGUUCGCAAAUUGCGGGCAUCCUUCUCUGUCACUCUAAUACGUCUUUAUUAGAGUAAAAGAGAAAGAUGGCCGCAGUUCCCCGUAGGCCCUCAGAGCGUGGCAUGGUUCAGAACUGCGUGUGCCUGCGUGUAUACGCACCAGGGUAAGACACGCCUUUCUCACGUGCACCCGACAGUUUUGAGCCCGAAUCUUGGCUUGAGGGCUCAUCAUGGCUUGAGCUAAUGUUCGUAUUUCAGUUUGAAUGAUAUUGGAUAAUCUCGGUUUGACUUUCGAGUCGAAACGGCUGCUGUCUUUUCGCUCUUAAAAGAGCCCGCAGAAAGCUCGGCCGAAUUUCAUCUUCCCAUGUAAACGGAGUUUCGUUCUCAUUUUAAAACUACGUGUUGGAUUGUAAUGAAACUUUGCACAUACAAUGACAUGAGGGAUAUCUAUGCUUCUAAUUAGUUUAUAUAGCUCCAGUUUAUAAAACAAACGAAAGUAGAGCAAAAACAAGUUUUGUAUGAAAAACUUAAAUUCGCUGUAUUUUUUAACUAUGGUAUCGAAGCUACAUAAACUACACGACUAGAUAUACCUUAUCCUGUUGUAAGUACAAAGUUUCAGAGCAAUUUAGCUAGUAACCACGUUUGUACGGAGAACCGAGCUUGCUGGGGACUUAUGGGUGGUAUUCCGUCCAAUUUCUUGGUCCAAUGUGCAUUGCGUCUCACUCUCUCAUUAUGCAAAAUGUGAGAUGCAAAUACACAUUUGACCAACAAAUUGGAUCAUGGUUUUAAAUAUAUAAAUACCGUUCACUCACGUCAAUCGGUUAGUCGAAUCGUGCCGAGAAUAUUUCGACUUAAAUAUACACAAUUAUUUAAUAAUUCACAUUAUGUGUAAACUAUUAAGGUUCAAUUUGAAAUUAUCCAAUCACAAUAAGUGCUUCAAAAAUGAUUUAUUCUAUAAUUCGCCUUGAAAUUUAGACGCAGAUGCUAGAACGCUCUAGGUUUGUAUAAUUCAAGUCUAUAUUUUAGUUAAAUAGUUUAAGAUACGGCUGGCAUAGAACUACCUAAAAUCUAAUUAAUCUUAAGAUACUGAGAAAAGCAUAGCUCUCGGCACAUAUGAUACGUAUAAAACAAAAUUAAAAUUACCCAAUUUUGUGAAUGAAUUGUAUCAAAUUGUAUAUACAUAUGAAACUUGACAUGUAAAAUACUAUGUUUUAUGAAUAAAUGCUUGAAUCUUGAAACUUUAUAGGUAUCAUAAGAGCUGGCGGCGCGAAACUUGUACUAAACUGUCAAAAUUUUCAUAUAAAAUCCGCGACAUCUAUCGUGAAUCAGCUUAUACUAAGUAACAUUUAUUAUAACUGACCCUAGAUGCACCUUAAAUCUAUUAAAUAAGGUCUAUUAUCAGUUAAAAGUGUAGACCAUAUGUGCCAGAGCAAAUGUUUGUCUUCAGUCCCUAAUUUGCGUGUAACGCAUUUCCCUUCGCCAUAGCAUGGUCGCAGCUAGCGAUAAUUCGUAUUCUAUGCGAGUCUCGAAUUCAUUUUUAUAAAUAAAACACCUGAAUUAUGAAUGAAUUACUAACAAUAAUUAUCUGUAAAUGGAGCGUCGAUGUAAAAUAAUUUAAUUUUGUAAUCAUUAUUUAUUCGAUCAUAGUAAUCUAUGGUUAAUUUACAGUUUUAAGCAGUAAUAAGCGCUGAAGAAUAUUUUUUACAAGCUUUUUAUUAACUUGCAAUGUAAUAUGUAACUAUGUAUGUACGGGUCAAAUCUUGCAAGUUAAAUUUGACCCACUUCCCGACUUCCAAUGAAGCUGAAAAUUUGCAUACAUAUGUAAUUAUGGUACCAUAGAGCUGAUCUGAUGAUGGAGACACGAGGUGUUAAUAGGAACUCUGUGAUGAAACAACGCAACCUAAUUGUGUUUGGGGUUUUUAGAAUUGUCUCGACGAGUAUUAGUUGCCAGUGGAAAGAAAAGUACAGUCAGCGAUAAAAGCUUGUACCAAAAAUGAAAUUUUUGGCAAAAACUUUUAUAUCCAUACUUUUAAAGUCGACCCAAGGUUACCCGGGUGAAUAGUUAAUUUCUUUACGUUUCUUGAUACAUGCCACUUUCAAUAGUUUUGUAACGAAUUAGUAACACAAUAUCAUUAGGGUAUUUGACUACGAAUCAAAUCAAUUUCUUUUUUGAACUGUCAACAUUUUCAUUUAUUAUCUAUAACAAUUAGACUAAAAUAACACUUGAAAAUUAAAAACUUAUAAAUAAAAAAUUCUAUUAAUCUUCUUGCGAUUUAUUACAUGCAUGGUGUAAAAUAAUUUAUUUUAAAUACAGUCAAAUACCCUAUUGUGUUACGGAAAAAAUAAGUAGGUAUUGACUUAUUGAGGAUACAAAAUCCUGCGCCAUAGAUUCCAAUAUUACUUCUUCAAGACGCAUUUCAAGUUUAUUAUGGAUGAAUAUGUUACUAUGGUCGAAUAUUUUCAAAUAAGAUGUUACAAAAAUAGGAUUAUUUAUUUUUUACAUAACGUUACAUAAGUUAUAGAAGCGUUCUAAUUUUCUACCGAAGCCGUGCCAAAUGUACCUACGACCGGGUUAAUUUCGUGCGGUCUUUUUCACUAUAUCUGGUUGUAUAUAUAUCGGGAACAAUUUUUUGUAAGAAAACGGAUGUCUUAAUUUUGUAAUUGAUUUAUUUUUGAUUCCAUAUAAUUGGCGGUUGUCAACUUAGCUUUAUGGACGCCGUACAUUUGAAUAAAUUAUACCUACUACUAUAAAGUUUAAAAAAACGUGGGUUGGUUCGACAUUUUGUUCACUCGCGACUUUUAGGCGUUGUCGGUAUCCAAAAAGAUAACCACUUUUAUGCAACUGAAAAACAAAAAUGACACCGAUUUCACCAAAAUACAGAUAAUAGUCGAUAUUAUUUGCGGUCAUAAAAUUGUAUCUACGAACAUCAGAAAAUCGCAAAUAAUGUUGCGGAGCAUAAUUUUUAUAAAAUAAGUCAUUGUGCUAGUUUUCGUCCACUUGACGAAAUUUGAAAAAAAAACCUACAUUGCUGCACAAUUUUGGACUUACUGAAUUCUUUAAGGUCUGAACAAUAUAUUUAUCUACAUAAAAAUGAUAUUUUGCAUCUACCAAAUUAAAAAUGAAAUAUAUUAUUUGCUAAUCCGUCAAGUGGACUAAAACCAGAGCAUGGACGGAAACUAACGCAAUGACCCUACGAAGAAUUUCGCACAUUGACCCCCAUGUUCCUAUCUCAAUGCCACGGUGGGACCGGGACAGUGAUAUAAUUAUGCGCGUGCGAUCGAGAUAGGAACAGUCGGGCAGUGAAAUUCUUUAUUUUUAGUACGUACCUGCUACUUUUCAGUCGCAUAAUAGUAGUUAGGGCAGCUGUCAGGCCAAAACGAUUUUUAUUGUAUUUACUUAUGAAAUGUUCUUUUCAGUAACAAGGCAUCUACUUGAAAAGGUUUCACAGUCCACAACAUACUGUAUUUCUCAAACGCUAGUCACGAGUUUUGUUACCUAUAUAAACUGUUUAUGUAUUUUGUAACUUAUAUGAUGUUAUAUUAGAAUGUAUUAAAACGGUACUGUCUUUGAAGCCA